CCCUUAGAUGUUCUGGGCCGCACGCGUGCUACACUGAGUGGAUCAGCGGGUCAGGUUGCGCGAAAGUGUUUCCUAAUCUUUAAAUCCGCUCGUGAUGGGGAUUGACGGUUGCAAUUUUCCGUCAUGAACGAGGAAUACCUUGUAAGCGCGGGUCAUCAUCCCGCGCUGAAUACGUCCCUGCCCUUUGUACACACCGCCCGUCGCUCCUACCGAUUGAGUGGUCCGGUGAGGCUUUGGGAUCUGAGCGGAAAGAGCGUUUCGCUGUUUCUGCUCGGAAAACUCAGUCGAACCUUAUCGUUUAGAGGAAGGAGAAGUCGUAACA
rnacentral:rRNA from 1 species